UUUUUAGAGAGUUUGAUCCUGGCUCAGGACGAACGCUGGCGGCGUGCCUAACACAUGCAAGUCGAACGAAGUUUUUAUGGAAUGCGACUUCGGUC
rnacentral:rRNA from 1 species